rnacentral:rRNA from 1 species
CAGUCGCCGCGGUAAUACGUAGGUGGCAAGCGUUGUCCGGAAUUAUUGGGCGUAAAGGGCUCGCAGGCGGUUUCUUAAGUCUGAUGUGAAAGCCCACGGCUCAACCGGGGAGGGUCAUUGGAAACUGGGAAACUUGAGUGCAGAAGAGGAGAGUGGAAUUCCACGUGUAGCGGUGAAAUGCGUAGAGAUGUGGAGGAACACCAGUGGCGAAGGCGACUCUCUGGUCUGUAACUGACGCUGAGGAGCGAAAGCGUGGGGAGCGAACAGGAUUAGAUACCCCCGUAGUCCCUGUCUCUUAUAC